GACAGAGGGUGCAAACGUUGCUCGGAAUUACUGGGCGUAAAGCGCGUGUAGGCGGACCACCAAGUCGGACGUGAAAGCCCUGAGCUCAACUCAGGAACUGCAUCCGAAACUGGCGGUCUGGAGUAGUGGAGAGGAAAGCAGAAUUCCUGGUGUAGAGGUGAAAUUCGUAGAUAUCAAGGAGGAACACCGGUGGCGAAGGCGGCUUUCUGGACACUUACUGACGCUGAGACGCGAAAGCGUGGGGAGCAAACAGG
rnacentral:rRNA from 1 species